AAAGUCGUAACAAGGUCUCCGUUGGUGAACCAGCGGAGGGAUCAUUAUCGAGUUACCAACUCCAAACCUUUGUGAACCUACCACUGUUGCUUCGGCGUCCGCCCCGGGCGCGGCUCCCUCUGGAGCAGUGACCCGGAUGGCCAGGUGGGCGCCGGGGGACCCAAAACUCAGUAUCUUAUAGUGGACUUGUGAGUGGAAAAAAGCAAAUCAAAACUUUCAGCAACGGAUCUCUUGGCUCUG
rnacentral:misc_RNA from 1 species